GAUCAAUGUCUAAUCCCGAGUAGCAUGGGACACGUGGAAUCCCGUGUGAAUCAGCGAGGACCACCUCGUAAGGCUAAAUACUCUUGAGUGACCGAUAGCGAAAAGUACCGUGAGGGAAUGGGUAAAAGAACCCCUGCAGGGGAGUGAAAAAGAACAUGAAACCGUCCGCUGACAAGCAGUGGGAGGAAAAUAAUUUCUGACCGCGUGCCUGUUGAAGAAUGAGCCGGCGACUUAUAGGAAGUGGCGUGGUUAAGGAAUGACAUCCGGAGCCAGAGCGAAAGCAAGUCUGAAUAGGGCAUUUGUCACUUCUUAUGGACCCGAACCCAGGUGAUCUAACCGUGACCAGGAUGAAGCUUGGGUAAAACCAAGUGGAAGGCCGGACCGACCGAUGUUGAAAAAUCGGCGGAUGAGUUGCGGUUAGCAGGAGAAAUUCCAAUCGAACUUGGAGCUAGCUGGAUCUCCCCGAAAUGUGUUGAGGCACAGCGGUAACGAUGGGCUACCUUUGGGUAAAGCGACUGUUUUGGUGCGGGCUGCGAAAGCGGUACCAAGUCAUGGCAAACUCAGAAUCAAAGGUAAGGCUUUCCGUGAACCAGUGAGAAUGUCGGAGAUAAGUUUGACAUUCAAGAGGGAAACAGCCCAGAUCACCAGCUAAGGCCCCUGAAUGGCCGCUAAGUGGAAAAGGAUGUGGGGAUGCUCAAACAACCAGGAGGUUUGCUUAGAAGCAGCAACCCUUGAAAGAGUGCGUAACAGCUCACUGGUACAAGCGUUCUUGCGCCGAUAAUGACCGGGACUAAGCGGCCUGCCGAAGCUGUGAGAUAGAAUCAAUCUAUCGGUAGGGGAGCGUUCCGUUAUCGGGUGAAGCCAUGACGAAAGUCAUUGUGGACGAAACGGAAGUGAGAAUGUCGGCUUGAGUAACGAAAACAUUGGUGAGAAUCCAAUGCCCCGAAAACCUAAGGGUUCCUUCACUAGGCUCGUCCAUGAAGGGUUAGUCAGGUCCUAAGAUUAGGCCGAAAGGCGUCGUCGAUGGAAAUCAGGUUAAUAUUCCUGAACUGAUUGAAGUUUAAGGAUCCCGAGGGACGAAGAAGGCUAAGCUGGAACUGUUUAUGGAUUGCAGUGGAAACGUCCAAGGUUAUGAGAAAGAGAAUGAAAACUCUUUUGAGCUGAGGCGCGAUCCCGUUAGGAAUCGAAUCUUUGAUUGGAUUCCUCGCCAGCGAUGUCACACUUCCAAGAAAAGCUCGUUCGAUUCAUACUUCAACACCUGUACCAGAAACCGACACAGGUAGGUGGGUAGAGAAUACCUAGGGGCGCGAGAGAACUCUCUCUAAGGAACUCGGCAAACUGGCCCCGUAACUUCGGAAGAAGGGGUGCCCCUGCGAAGGGGUCGCAGUGACCAGGCUCUGGCGGCUGUUUACCAAAAACACAGGUAUCCGCAAAGUCGUAAGACAAUAUAUGGGUGCCGACACCUGCCCAGUGCCGGAAGGUGAAGGAAGUUGGUUAGGGGUUUCCUGAAGCUAACGACCGAAGCCCCGGUGAACGGCGGUUGUAACUAUGACAAUCCUAAGGUAGCGAAAUUCCUUGCCAGGUAAGUUCUGGCCUGCACGAAAGGUGUAACGAUCUGAGCGCUGUCUCGGAGAGAGACUCGGUGAAAUAGACUUGUCCGUGAAGAUGCGGACUACCUACACCAGGACAGAAAGACCCUAUGAAGCUUGACUGUAUCCUGGAAUGGGGUUCGGGCUCUUCUUGCGCAGCCUAGGUGGGAGGCGAUGAGGGCUUCCUUUCGGGGAAGUCGUAGCCAUCAUUGAGAGACCACUCUGGGAGAGCUAGAAUCCUAAUGGCGAUCCUUGAAUCAGGACGCUUGAAAGUUUCAGGUGGGCAGUUUUUCUGGGGCGGAAAUCUCCCAAAAGGUAACGGAGAUGUGCAAAGGUUCCCUCAGUCUGGACGGAAAUCAGACAAUGAGUGCAAAGGCAUAAGGGAGCUUGACUGCAAGACCUACAAGUCGAGCAGGCUGGAAACAGGGCCUUAGUGAUCCGACGGUUCCGUGUGGAAGGGCCGUCGCUCAACGGAUAAAAGUUACUCUAGGGAUAACAGGCUGAUCUUCCCCAAGAGUUCACAUCGACGGGAAGGUUUGGCACCUCGAUGUCGGCUCAUCGCAGCUCAGGGCGGUAGUACGUCCUAAGAGUAAGACUGUUCGUCUUUUAAAGCGGUACGUGAGCUGGGUUCAGAACGUCGUAAGACAGUUCGGUCCAUAUCCGGUGUAGGCGCUAGAGUAUUGAGAGGAUCCUUCUAUAGUACGAGAGGACCUAUGAAGGACGCACCUAUGGUAUACCAGUUCUUGGUCCCCCAGGAAACGCUGGGUAGCUACGUGCGGAGUGGAUAACUGCUGAUAGCGUCUAAGUAGGAAGCCCACCUCAAGAUGAGUACUCUUCCGAGUAGAUAGUUUAUCGAAAGGUAUGAGGUCACGGCUAGACAAGCCGAUAAUAGGUGUUAGGUGGAAGACCAGCAAUGGUUUCAGCCGAGACAUACUAACGACCCAAUCAUUUGGAU
rnacentral:rRNA from 1 species